rnacentral:lncRNA from 1 species
GGAAGAGCUGGGGCAGAGAGAGAAACAACAGCUUCUUUGUCUGGUUCUCUCAGAAGCCAACUCUGAGGCAAGGAUUCCUAGGAAAGACUAUCUUAAGAGUGAGAGGUGGAAUUUUAUUAUCUAUGGUGAGUAAGUAGAGUUUUGUCCUGCUGGGAGCCUCCAGAAGGCAGUGUGACCCACCUUGGUGUUCUCUCACCUGAGAGUCCAGGGGCUAGGGUGUUUACCCACCUCACCGUCCUCUUGGUUGAGGACUGCUUUCAGGGGCAAUAACACUGCUGCUUCCAACCUGCCCUCUGCACAGAAGAGUAGGCUCCCAAGGCCAGAACAACAUCUAGAAGCAGGGAGUCACAGGUGUGCACAGUAAGCAGGCUUGAGUAUGAGAGUGGACAGAAUAUGGGCGAGAUGCUUACGGUUUCAGUUCACGAUGCCUCAUCACACUUUACUGCAAGUUCUUACAGUAAACCCUCUGCAGCAAAGACAACUGUUUUCUGUAAAGGGCCAGAGGAUCAAUACUUUGUCUUUUGUGGGAAAUAUGGUCUUUGUCAAAGCUAUUCAUCCUAUACCCAUAUAGUGCAAAAGCAGCCAUAGACAAUAUGUAAAGAAAUGGGUGUGACUGUGUUUCGAUAAAACUUUAUUUACAAAAACAAGCUCUGGGCCAGACAUAGCUGGACAUGUCUAAACCCUAAUCUAAGCCUGGGAUUAUAUUUGCUUAAAACUUGGGUGCCAGCUCUUAUCAGCUGACCGUGACUUCCAGGAGGAAGGAAUCUUCCUAGUGACUGAGUCCUGUCUUCUUCCUUCAAUGAGAAAGACAGCUGUGAUUGAUUAGUGAUGUCUGCCUUGGCCCAGGAUGGGAGACAACAGUACCUAUACUGCACAUUGUACAUCCCUGACCUCAGGAAACCUCAGCAGUCAGAAGGAGUUCAAGCAAUGUGGUACAAAAAGCCUCUAUUAUUAUUUGGGAGAUAGAGGGAGGGGUCAUCUGGGAAGCCUGGCCUCUUUCCAAACACACUCUAACACUGUGGAAACCUGUGUCUUUGCAGGGACUGCUCUAUUUGCUCCCUUGACUGUGAGUGAUUUAAAGAUACUGGGUCUUGCUCCUUCACCCAAACUGGAGUGCAGUGGCACGAUCGAUCACAGCUCACCGCAGCCUUGAACUCCUAGGGCUGACACCAUCCUCCCGCCUGAGCCUCCUGAGUGGCUGGAACUACAGGAGUGCACCACCAUGCACCUAAUUGGUAUUUUAAAUGAUAACAACCACACGAAUAAUAUUAACAAUAAUGAUGAUGGUGAUAAUGACAGCUGCCACUUAUAUCCAUGGGCCAAGCAUUGUGCCACGCAUUUUGCUUACAUCUUCACACAAAAUCUACCAGGGAGGGAGUGUCUUUAACUGUCAUUUUACAGAUGGGGAAACUGAGGCUCUUAUGGGGAAGCCACUGGCCUGAGGUCAAGCACUGGAAUGUGACUGAGCCAAAAUGUGGCAGCAGAUCUGACUAUCGGCCUUUGUGGUUCACGAUUAUUGCCUCCAUUACAGUGCUGCCUGUGUGCUGGUUCUCGCAUGACAGGGAGGGUUGUGAGUAGACAGAGGGGUUGCAGCAGGACUGGCCCCUACCGUGUCAAAAGGGACAGGUCACAGGCUGAGCAGGAUGGGGCGGCAGGGGCAGGCUGCCUCCCCACACGCAGAGGUCCCACCCCAGCUCCCUACCAGCAGCAGACUGGGAGCCCUAGUGUGCCCAGCGCCCCCAUGAUUGGCAGCCUGCAGAUGGCAGGGGUGCCUUGGAAUUUAUUAUCCAAGCAUGCCUUUCCGAGGGGGCCUCACUGCCUGACACUGCUUUAUCGGAAAGCUGGGAAUGGUUAGCUGAGCCCAUCUGUUAGCCAAAGAGGGGAACUCAGUGGGUGGGGAAGUCUGUGGAGUCAUUUAAAAGGAAUUUCUCUGAUGCUGAGGCCAGGGCAGAAGGUUAUCUGCCCGUGGGCCGUUGGGCUGCCUGGUUUGGGGUAUUGGGGGCUUGGGGGUGGUGUGUGUGUGUUUGGUGGGGGACUCUCGUUGCUUGUUCUAAACCAAAAAUUGCUAGAGCCCUUCCCCCUUCUGAACAACAAUUUGAACUCUGCAGUGCUCUUUCAUUGCUGAAACCACCACAUUAGCAUCGUCAGUGUCUUGGUGACGAAUCUAGGACAGAUGGGGAUAAAUGCAGUGAUCUGAAUUAAUACUGGGGUGGCUAAUGAAUCCAGGAGCCAGGAAAUAAUUAGGAGAAGUUACUGCUCCUGACAUGGCAAAUAGAAGCUGUGUGUUAGAUGCCUUCUUCUCUCUCCCCUCCCACCAACCAAGAUGCCCCGGAAGACAGCUGUGCAGCCACCUGGGGUGGGGGACACUUGGAUGUCAGGACUUGAUCUUGGGUGAGGAUUCUGGGACAUUUAUGACAGAGGCUGGUGAACAGCAGGUGGAGACAGGAGAAUGGCGGUUCUUCCAUUGUAUAUCAAAGGUUCUUCUGUGCUUGGAAAAAGCACUGGACUGGGAGCCCAGAGGCCUGGGUUCAAGUGCAGGCUCCUACUGGAUCAUCCUAAGGCAUGUGGUUCCCUCCUCCAAUGCUCAAUGAAAGUAGAGCAUGAUCGAGGGUAGCAUGCACUGUUUGCUGCCCAGGGGCAGGCCCAUGCUAAAUGAUUUGCAUAGGGCUCUCAUUUAAUCUUCCCCCACAGCUCUAGUACUCUGUUUGUUCUCACUCUACCAAGUCCAAUUGUUUCAAUAGCUCAUUCAAGGGCAUGCAGUUGAUAGCAGAGCUGGAUUCAAACCCAGAAAUCAACUCAAAGGUCUGAGCCCUUGACCAUACCAUGUCACUGCCUUUUGCCACCAAGAGCCAGAUAAUCAUUGAUGUUUCUUCCAACACUGACAUAUUUUUAGGCCUUCAUGAUUCUUGUAGAUAUCUUGUAGAUAUCUGCUUUGCAAUAUGGGGAGUGAAAGGGAGUUGAGCUAUGCUUUUGUA